UACGUAGGGUGCGAGCGUUGUCCGGAAUUAUUGGGCGUAAAGAGCUCGUAGGCGGUGUGUCACGUCGGCCGUGAAAACCUGGGGCUUAACUCUGGGCGUGCGGUCGAUACGGGCAUCACUAGAGUUCGGCAGGGGGAGACUGGAAUUCCUGGUGUAGCGGUGAAAUGCGCAGAUAUCAGGAGGAACACCGAUGGCGAAGGCAGAUCUCUGGGCCGUAACUGACGCUGAGGAGCGAAAGCAUGGGGAGCGAACAGG
rnacentral:rRNA from 1 species